rnacentral:rRNA from 1 species
UACGUAGGUGGCAAGCGUUGUCCGGAAUUACUGGGUGUAAAGGGCGUGUAGGCGGGGAUGCAAGUCAGAUGUGAAAUUCCGGGGCUCAACUCCGGAGCUGCAUCUGAAACUGUAUCUCUUGAGUGUUGGAGAGGAAAGUGGAAUUCCUAGUGUAGCGGUGAAAUGCAUAGAGAUUAGGAGGAACACCAGUGGCGAAGGCGGCUUUCUGGACAAUAACUGACGCUGAGGCGCGAAAGCGUGGGGAGCAAACAGGAUUAGA